rnacentral:rRNA from 1 species
AUUGAACGCUGGCGGCAGGCCUAACACAUGCAAGUCGAGCGGAUGAGAGGAGCUUGCUUCUCGAUUCAGCGGCGGACGGGUGAGUAAUGCCUAGGAAUCUGCCUGGUAGUGGGGGACAACGUUUCGAAAGGAACGCUAAUACCGCAUACGUCCUACGGGAGAAAGCAGGGGACCUUCGGGCCUUGCGCUAUCAGAUGAGCCUAGGUCGGAUUAGCUAGUUGGUGAGGUAAUGGCUCACCAAGGCGACGAUCCGUAACUGGUCUGAGAGGAUGAUCAGUCACACUGGAACUGAGACACGGUCCAGACUCCUACGGGAGGCAGCAGUGGGGAAUAUUGGACAAUGGGCGAAAGCCUGAUCCAGCCAUGCCGCGUGUGUGAAGAAGGUCUUCGGAUUGUAAAGCACUUUAAGUUGGGAGGAAGGGUUGUAGAUUAAUACUCUGCAAUUUUGACGUUACCGACAGAAUAAGCACCGGCUAGCUCCGUGCCAGCCGCCGCCGUAAAAC